GGUAUAAAUAGGGAAAUGAAGGUCAUUGGUGAAGCACAGAAACAAGGUGAGUGUAUGAAGCGUAACGUAGCGAGGUUCUGAAGUGCAAGGAAAAUAGCGAUAAAUUUAUACUAGAGGUGACGAGGUUUAGCGGGAUCAAGAUGGAAAAUAAAUCGCUAUGUUAUUUUGUUUUUUAAGAUUUCUAUCUUUUAUUAUUAAACUCUUGUGAUACAGUGAAGCUCAAAUGACUAUGUUUUAUUUCCUUUUAAAUAAACAGUUGGUACCCAGUUAUUUAUUUUAAUUUAUUUAAUUUAUCUGCUUGCGCUGUGAUUACAGAAUUAUCCGAAUUAUUUUAUUUUUAUCUUGUUACGACGCUGAACCUUUAGGUACCGGGUUUGGGUCGUGACAUUAAUGCUCUAAUGGCAGCAUUACCGUAUGUAGUUCGUUAUGAAUAUGUUUCAUUUGGAACUCCUAAUUGGAAGAAUAAUGGGACUUAUGAUGACAUUGUCUA